UACGAAGGGGGCUAGCGUUGCUCGGAAUCACUGGGCGUAAAGCGCACGUAGGCGGCUUUCUAAGUCAGGGGGUGAAAUCCUGGAGCUCAACUCCAGAACUGCCUUUGAUACUGGGGAGCUCGAGUCCGGAAGAGGUGAGUGGAACUCCGAGUGUAGAGGUGAAAUUCGUAGAUAUUCGGAAGAACACCAGUGGCGAAGGCGGUGAUCUGGGCCGGCACGUGACGCUGAGGAGCGAAAGCGUGGGUAGCAAACAGG
rnacentral:rRNA from 1 species